GUUUGAUCCUGGCUCAGAUUGAACGCUGGCGGCAUGCCUUACACAUGCAAGUCGAACGGCAGCGCGGACUUCGGUCUGGCGGCGAGUGGCGAACGGGUGAGUAAUGUAUCGGAACGUACCAUUCAGUGGGGGAUAACGCAGCGAAAGUUGCGCUAAUACCGCAUAUUCUGUGCGCAGGAAAGCAGGGGAUCGCAAGACCUUGCGCUGAUUGAGCGGCCGAUAUCAGAUUAGCUAGUUGGUGAGGUAAAAGCUCACCAAGGCGACGAUCUGUAGCGGGUCUGAGAGGAUGAUCCGCCACACUGGAACUGAGACACGGUCCAGACUCCUACGGGAGGCAGCAGUGGGGAAUUUUGGACAAUGGGGGCAACCCUGAUCCAGCCAUGCCGCGUGAGUGAAGAAGGCCUUCGGGUUGUAAAGCUCUUUCAGCCGGGAAGAAAACGCAUGGGUUAAUACCCUGUGUGGAUGACGGUACCGGAAUAAGAAGCACCGGCUAACUACGUGCCAGCAGCCGCGGUAAUACGUAGGGUGCGAGCGUUAAUCGGAAUUACUGGGCGUAAAGCGUGCGCAGGCGGUUUGGUAAGACAGGCGUGAAAUCCCCGGGCUUAACCUGGGAACUGCGUUUGUGACUGCCAGGCUAGAGUACGGCAGAGGGGGGUGGAAUUCCACGUGUAGCAGUGAAAUGCGUAGAGAUGUGGAGGAACACCAAUGGCGAAGGCAGCCCCCUGGGUCGAUACUGACGCUCAUGCACGAAAGCGUGGGUAGCAAACAGGAUUAGAUACCCUGGUAGUCCACGCCCUAAACGAUGUCAACUAGGUGUUGGGAGGGUAAAACCUUUUAGUACCGUAGCUAACGCGAGAAGUUGACCGCCUGGGGAGUACGGCCGCAAGGUUAAAACUCAAAGGAAUGACGAAGGG
rnacentral:rRNA from 1 species